rnacentral:misc_RNA from 1 species
GAAAUGCGAUAAGUAAUGUGAAUUGCAGAAUUCAGUGAAUCAUCGAAUCUUUGAACGCACCUUGCGCUCCUUGGUAUUCCGAGGAGCAUGCCUGUUUGAGUGUCAUGGAAUUCUCAACUCUAUUUGCUUUUGUGAAUAGAGCUUGGAUUUGGAGGUUUAUUGCUGGUACUUGUGAUCGGCUCCUCUUGAAUGCAUUAGCUCGAACCUUUGCGGAUCAGCUAUCGGUGUGAUAAUUGUCUACGCCGUUGCAGUGAAGCAUAUCAAUGGGCUCGGCUUCCAAUCGUCCUUUACUGGACAAUGACUUUGACCUUUGACCUCAAAUCAGGUAGGAUCACCCGCUGAACUUAAGC